AGGUGGUAAAUGGGGGAAGAUGGUGAUACCAGAGAUGAUGGUGGUGAAUGGGGGAAGAUGAUGAUACCAGAGAUGAUGGUGGUGAAUGGGGGAAGAUGAUGAUACCAGAGGUGAAGGUGGUGAAUGGGGGAAGAUGAUGAUACCAGAGGUGAAGGUGGUGAAUGGGGGAAGAUAAUGAUACCAGAGGUGAAGGUGAUGAAUGGGGGAAGAUGAUGAUACCAGAGAUGAUGGUGGUGAAUGGGGGAAGAUGAUGAUACCAGAGGUGAUGGUGGUGAAUGGGGGAAGAUGAUGAUACCAGAGGUGAUGGUGGUGAAUGGGGGAAGAUGAUGAUACCAGAGGUGAUGGUGGUGAAUGGGGGAAGAUGAUGAUACCAGAGAUGAUGGUGGUGAAUGGGGGAAGAUGAUGAUACCAGAGGUGAUGGUGGUGAAUGGGGGAAGAU
rnacentral:lncRNA from 1 species